rnacentral:rRNA from 1 species
UACGUAGGGUGCGAGCGUUGUCCGGAAUUAUUGGGCGUAAAGAGCUCGUAGGCGGUCUGUCGCGUCGGUCGUGAAAACCUGCAGCUUAACUGUGGGCGUGCGGUCGAUACGGGCAUGACUGGAGUUCGGCAGGGGAGACUGGAAUUCCUGGUGUAGCGGUGAAAUGCGUAGAUAUCGAGAGGAACACCUGCGGCGAAGGCGGGUUGCUGGGCUGACACUGACGCUGAUGCGCGAAAGCCAGGGGAGCGAACGGG